rnacentral:rRNA from 1 species
UACGGGGGGGGGCAAGCGUUGUUCGGAAUUACUGGGCGUAAAGGGCUCGUAGGUGGCCAACUAAGUCAUACGUGAAAUCCCUCGGCUUAACCGGGGAACUGCGUCUGAUACUGGAUGGCUUGAGGUUGGGAGAGGGAUGCGGAAUUCCAGGUGUAGCGGUGAAAUGCGUAGAUAUCUGGAGGAACACCGGUGGCGAAGGCGGCAUCCUGGACCAAUUCUGACACUGAGGAGCGAAAGCAUGGGGAGCAAACAGG